rnacentral:rRNA from 1 species
GACGAACGCUGGCGGCGUGCUUAACACAUGCAAGUCGAACGGGAUUUAGUAAACGGAAGCCUCGGUGGAAGAUUACUAAUGAGAGUGGCGAACGGGUGAGUAACGCGUGAGCAACCUGCCUAUGACAGUGGGAUAGCCUCGGGAAACCGGGAUUAAUACCGCAUAAAAUCGUAGAAACACAUGUUUCAACGGUCAAAGAUUUAUCGGUCAUAGAUGGGCUCGCGUCUGAUUAGCUAGUUGGUGAGAUAACAGCCCACCAAGGCGGCGAUCAGUAGCCGGUCUGAGAGGAUGAACGGCCACAUUGGAACUGAGACACGGUCCAAACUCCUACGGGAGGCAGCAGUGGGGAAUAUUGCACAAUGGGGGAAACCCUGAUGCAGCGACGCCGCGUGAACGAAGAAGGUAUUCGUAUCGUAAAGUUCUGUCCUAUGGGAAGAUAAUGACAGUACCAUAGAAGAAAGCUCCGGCUAAAUACGUG